rnacentral:miRNA from 2 species
UAGUGGUCGGUUGAGGUUCGCU